UACGUAGGUGGCAAGCGUUGUCCGGAAUUAUUGGGCGUAAAGAGCUCGUAGGCGGUGUGUCACGUCGUUCGUGAAAACCUGCAGCUUAACUGUGGGCGUGCGGUCGAUACGGGCAUCACUGGAGUUCGGCAGGGGAGACUGGAAUUCCUGGUGUAGCGGUGAAAUGCGCAGAUAUCAGGAGGAACACCGGUGGCGAAGGCGGGUCUCUGGGCCGAUACUGACGCUGAGGAGCGAAAGCGUGGGGAGCAAACAGG
rnacentral:rRNA from 1 species